AGAGCGAACGCUGGCGGCAGGCCUAACACAUGCAAGUCGAGCGCCCGUAGCAAUACGGGAGCGGCAGACGGGAUAGUAACACGUGGGAACGCGCCCUUCGGUUCGGAAUAACUCAGGGAAACUGGAGCUGAUACCGUAUGUGCCCGAAAGGGGAAAGAUUUAUCGCCUUUGGAUCGGCCCGCGUCUGAUUAGCUAGUUGGUAGGGUAACGGCCUACCAAGGCGACGAUCAGUAGCUGGUCUGAGAGGAUGACCAGCCACACUGGGACUGAGACACGGCCCAGACUCCUACGGGAGGCAGCAGUGGGGAAUAUUGGACAAUGGGCGCAAGCCUGAUCCAGCCAUGCCGCGUGAGUGAUGAAGGCCUUAGGGUUGUAAAGCUCUUUCGCCAGGGACGAUAAUGACGGUACCUGGAUAAGAAGCCCGGCUAACUUCGUGCCAGCAGCCGC
rnacentral:rRNA from 1 species